CCUACGGGAGACAGCAGUGAGGAAUAUUGGUCAAUGGGCGCAAGCCUGAACCAGCCAAGUCGCGUGAGGGAUGACGGUCCUAUGGAUUGUAAACCUCUUUUGUCGGGGAGCAAGGCCCGCCACGUGUGGCGGGAAGGAGAGUACCCGAAGAAAAAGCAUCGGCUAACUCCGUGCCAGCAGCCGCGGUAAUACGGAGGAUGCGAGCGUUAUCCGGAUUUAUUGGGUUUAAAGGGUGCGUAGGCGGAAGGUUAAGUCAGCGGUAAAAUGUCGGUGCUCAACACCGGCCUGCCGUUGAAACUGGUCUUCUUGAGUGAGCGAGAAGUAUGCGGAAUGCGUGGUGUAGCGGUGAAAUGCAUAGAUAUCACGCAGAACUCCGAUUGCGAAGGCAGCAUACCGGCGCUCAACUGACGCUGAGGCACGAAAGCGUGGGGAUCGAACAGGAUUAGAUACCCUGGUAGUC
rnacentral:rRNA from 1 species